GACGAACGCUGGCGGCGUGCUUAACACAUGCAAGUCGAACGGAAAGGCCCUGCUUGCAGGGUACUCGAGUGGCGAACGGGUGAGUAACACGUGGGUGAUCUGCCCUGCACUUCGGGAUAAGCCUGGGAAACUGGGUCUAAUACCGGAUAGGAGCCAUUUUUAGUGUGAUGGUUGGAAAGUUUUUUCGGUGUAGGAUGAGCUCGCGGCCUAUCAGCUUGUUGGUGGGGUAAUGGCCUACCAAGGCGGCGACGGGUAGCCGGCCUGAGAGGGUGGACGGCCACAUUGGGACUGAGAGACGGCCGAGACUGCUACGGGAGGCAGCAGUGGGGAAUAUUGCAGAAGGGGCGCAAGCCUGAUGCAGCGACGCCGCGGGGGGGAUGACGGCCUUCGGGUUGUAAAAUCCUUUCGCUAGGGACGAAGCUUUUUGUGACGGUACCUAGAUAAGAAGCACCGGCUAACUACGUG
rnacentral:rRNA from 1 species